rnacentral:misc_RNA from 1 species
AAGUCGUAACAAGGUAACCGUAGGUGAACCUGCGGUUGGAUCAUUAAUAAAUGAUUUGGUUUCAUACCAACACAUUGUGUGCAAUUAUAUCUGUCUCUGGUGGUUAAAUUUUCCUGCUCGGUACGGGUGUCAUGUUUCUUCUGAAAGGGAGCUCUAACCUGAUGUCCAAACUUGGCAAAGAAUACCCUACCACCAAAUGAAUACACAAACCUUUGUAUGUUUUUUUUAAGUCUGAAUCAUUCACUUUUGGUGCAAUGAAAAAACAACUUUUGACAACGGAUCUCUUGGCUCUC